UCACAAUAAAACAUGUAUAAAUUGGUGCAGACAGGACCUGAGGGCAAAGGUCAAAUCUGUCUGGAUGAUCAGGAUAUGAUUGAUCCUCGUCCACAUGUUCUACCUUUGUGUUGUUUUUGGACAGUUUGAGUUUUCUGUUCACUGAGUUUGGAUCCAGAAAGAGUUCAGAGAAAUCUGAUGAAACAAAACACAACACAGUUAUCAAUCAAUCAGUUCAUCAAUCAACAUGACAAGGUCAGACUUACUGAAUGAUGA